AAACAGAGAGCACAACAAUAAACUACCAUCUCUUAAGUAUCUGCUAUACUCCAGGCCCAUUACACGUGUUGUUUAACAUCAUCAUCACAGCAGGCUGACCGGGUAGAUGUACUUAUCUAACUAGAAAUGGAACCUUAGAAUCUGAGAGGUUAAGUACUAGCAGAGAGUUCCCCAGAUAAAAAGUAGCGAUGGCAGGAUUUGAACCCAUGCCUGCUUGGCUCUCAUAGCCCAGGCCUUUCCUGCUGUAAUGUGUGGCCUUAUACUUGACUAAAUCUCCAAAAAACGUUUCUAGGUACCUGUCCUAAGCUGGUUACUUAAGAAUCACUCAGGAAACUUGUAAAAAUGUGUAUUUUUAAGCGCUCCCCCAGGGAGAAUGUCAUCACAGAUUUAGGUUUUUCCUUUCUCUUUCUUUCUUUGCAUUUCAUAUCCUCCCCCAUUACUUCAGCUGUUUAAGGGACUACAGUAAUCAAUACUUUUGUCUUUCAAACAUCUUAUACCUUAUACUUUUUCUUGAAAACACUGGCAAAUGCACAUUCAUUUUGUCAAGCCAGGGACCCCCGAGGUUCCCCAACAGACUGUUAUACAAUCAGCAACUCCCACUUGUUCCAACAAUAUACUUUUAUCCACUUAUUCUGCUGGGGUGUAAGAGUCAUCUUUAGGACACAGUUCACUGCUGGGAGAGGCCUCCCCUUGGGCAGGACUUGGCCCUGGGAGGGAAACAGAAGCAGAAAGCAGUGGAUUCCUGGGGUUUUAUUCAUCUAAUCAUUCAGUAAGUAAUAACUGAGUACUAUGUGGCAGGCAGGGGCGAGAUGUUGGGGAUGGAGUAAUCAUAAAACAAAGUCUCUGUUCUCAGGGGGUUUUGCAGAGGUGGGCACAGAAAGCCUGGCAUCUGAGCUGAGACCUGACAGAUGACAGAGUGAACCGUGAAUUGCUGGGGAAAAGCAUACCAGGCAGAGGGAACAGCGAGUGCAAAGACUCCCUUGGGGGAGUUUGAGGUAGUGCAAGAAGGCUAGUAUCCAGCAGGAAGCCUGGAGUGGAGUGUGCAAGAAGGAGCAAGUCAUAUUCUCUAACUGAAGAAGCCCAAACUGACCCGAGUGGAGAAACCAUAUGGAGAGACUGCAUGCAGGUGUUUUGGCUGAUGGCCCAGUCCAAGCCUAUAGCCAGCGUCGACCACUGGACAUGUGCGUGUCAGGAAGAAGUCGUUGAGACGACUUUAUCCCUAGCCACCAUCUGACUGCAGCCUCAUGAACAACCUCAAACAUUACCCAGGAAAGACGCAUCUGCAGUUCUGAGCUCUUCAAACUGGGGACGUGUAGCAGUGUGCUAGGGUUUCUACAAAGCUGCAGGAAAACCACGGUUCAUCACUCUGGAGCAUCAAUUUUACUCAGUGGACCAUUGUGCUGUGAAUAAGCCUGGCCUAGUCUUCUUGAGAAUGGAAGAACACAUCAAGAGAGAGGCCCAGCCAACCCAGCCAUAUCAGCAGAACCCAGGCCAGACUGCCAGCUGAAUGAAGCCACAGUGAGUGGCAGAAGAACCAUCCUACUAACUCAGAAAAUUAUGAGAAAUAAUACAUUGCUAUAGUUUUAAGUCGCUA